GAGCUGAACCCGCUGCUCUCCCUUGCUCGCAGGUGGCCAUCAAAAGGGUGCCGCGGGAUCGCAUCCGGCACUGGGGCGAGCUGGUGAGUGAGCGGGGCCAGCGGCAGAAGCCGGGCCGUGCCGGGCGGGGAUGAGCCGGGGCCCGGCAGGGUGGGAGCUGCCAGGAGCCCUGCAGGGAGAGCGGGCGUGGGCUGAGCGGGGCAUGCAGAGCAUCCCGGGCUGGCUGAGGGCUUCCCCAGCCCCGGCACGGCCUCAGCCCCACUGACGGCAUCGCGCUCCUCCCGCAGCCCGACGGCACCAGCGCACCCCUGGAGAUCGUGCUGCUGGCCAAGGUGGCCUCUGGCUGCGCUGGUGUCAUUCAGCUCCUGGAGUGGCUCCAGCUCCCCGACAGCUUCUUGCUGGUGCUGGAGCGCCCGGAGCGGUGCCAGGACCUGUCGGGUUUCCUGGCGGAGCGGAGGUUCCUGCCGGAGGAGGAGGCGCGGGGGCUGUUCCGCCAGGUGCUGGAGGCCGUGCGGCACUGCACCAGCUGCGGGGUCCUGCACAGGGACAUCAAGCCCCAGAACAUCCUGCUCGACCUGGCCACCGGGCAGCUGAAACUGAUCGACUUUGGCUGUGGCGCCUUCCUCCAAGACACAGCCUACACCCAGUUUGCAGGAACCCUGUCCUACAGCCCACCAGAGUGAAUCCACCACCGACGCUACCACGGCGAGGCAGCGACCAUCUGGUCCCUGGGCCUCCUGCUGUGCCACCUGGUCAUGGGCAAGCACCCGUUCAGGAGGGGCCAGGAGAUCAUCUGGGGGCGGAUCUUGUUCCCACGACGGCUCUCUCAAGAGUGCCAGGAUGUCAUUAAGAGGUGUUUGUCCAUGCAGCCCUUGGACAGGCCGUCCUUAGAAGAGCUUUUCCAUGAUCCUUGGGUGCAGGGUGUUCCUUUGCCCUAGAGGAUGGGAGAGAUCCACGUGCACAGUUGGAUCCAGGGGCCUGGCAGGGAAGGAGAAGGAGCCCCUGGAGAAGCUGCACCAGGUGGGGCUGCUGCUGCUGGAGACACCAAGGACAACCUCAAGGAUGACAAUCACUUCCUCGGCCUGGCCAGCUGAAGAUGAUGGACUUGGAUUCUGGCACCUUCUCCAAAGCCAGGCUCCACAGGGAAUCUGCAGAUAAGUCCACAUGCAGGGGGAUGCUCCCAGAUUUGGGCAUUGCUCAGCCUGGCCAGGAACCAAAGGUUCCCCCUUUGCUGGGGCGGAUGCAGCUGAUCCUUCAGUCGGCUGCCAGGCUGCUUUUGGCAGGGCUGGGGGCAUGGGCUGGGGUGGGUACGAAAUGGGAGUGGGCUCCUGGCCCUGCCAACAGCCCCCAGCACCCACCGUGCCCCGGGCUGGGGCUGGGGCUGGGGCAGCCAGCCCGACACAAACCAACCCCCAUGGUGGGAGCAGAGGUGGGACUCCAGAACGUGUGCAGGGGCUGCUUUGCUUUGCAGGCAAGGAAGGGCUUGGGCUGCUCCACUGCCCCUGAUUGCUUUGGGAUCAGCGUUAUUUUGGGGGCAGUGCAGGG